rnacentral:rRNA from 1 species
AUUGAACGCUGGCGGCAGGCCUAACACAUGCAAGUCGAACGAGUGGCGGACGGGUGAGUAAUGUCUGGGAAACUGCCAGAUGGAGGGGUAUAACUACUGGAAACGGUAGCUAAUACCGCAUACUCUCGGAUGUGCCCAUAUGGGAUUAGCUAGUUGGUGGGGUAAAGGCUCACCUAGGCGACGAUCCCUCGCUGGUCUGAGAGGAUGACCAGCCACACUGGAACGGAGACACGGUCCAGACGCCUACGGGAGGCAGCAGUGGGGAAUAUUGCACAAUGGGCGCAAGCCUGAUGCAGCCAUGCCGCGUGUAUGAAGAAGGCCUUAGGGUUGUAAAGUACUUUCAGCGGGGAGGCGUUACCCGCAGAAGAAGCACCGGCUAACUCCGUGCCAGCAGCCGCGGUAAUUC